AACGAACGCUGGCGGCAUGCCUAACACAUGCAAGUCGAACGAGAACUUCGGGUCUUGUGGCCAACGGGUGCGUCAGGCGUGGGAACCUUCCCUCAGGUUCGGACUAACUCCCCGAAAGGGGUGCUAAUACCGGACAAUGUCUUCGGACCAAAGAUUUAUCGCCUUUGAAGGGUCACGCGUUGGAUUAGCUAGUUGGUAGGGUAAAAGCCUACCAAGGCGACGAUCCAUAGCUGGUCUGAGAGGAAGAUCAGCCACACUGGGAGUGAGACACGGCCCAGACUCCUACGGGAGGCAGCAGUGGGGAAUAUUGGACAAUGGGCGAAGGCCUGAUCCAGCAAGGCCGCGUGAGUGAUGAAGGCCUGAGGGUUGUAAAGCUCUUUUACCCGGGAUGAUAAUGACAGUACCGGGAGAAUAAGCUCCGGCUAACUCCGUG
rnacentral:rRNA from 1 species